AAGUCGUAACAAGGUUUCCGUAGGUGAACCUGCGGAAGGAUCAUUAGUGAAUUUAGCGUUUCUCUUAACAGAGCGCGACCCUCCACUUUCUUAACUCUGUGAACUUUUUUUGGUCAAGUUAAUGAACUCGUUGUUACUUUUAUUAGUCUCGAUAAGUAAAUUUACUUGACGGCUCAUUUUAAACACUAGUACAAGUAUGUAACGAAAUAUCGAAAUAUAAAAAAA
rnacentral:misc_RNA from 1 species